rnacentral:rRNA from 1 species
CCCUUAGAUGUUCUGGGCUGCACGCGCGCUACACUGAUACUUUCAGCGAGUCCACCACCUUGCCUGAGAGGGUGGGGUAACCUCUGGAAAGUGUAUCGUGAUGGGGAUCGAUUAUUGUAAUUAUUAAUCUUCAACGAGGAAUUCCUAGUAAGCAUGUGUCAUCAGCCCGUGCUGAUUACGUCCCUGCCCUUUGUACACACCGCCCGUCGCACCUACCGAUUGAAUGACUCGGUGAAAAAUUGGGACCGUGAGUCUGUUUGCUUCAUUGCGAGUGGAUUGAUGGGAACUUUUUUAAACCUCGCCAUUUAGAGGAAGGUGAAGUCGUAACA